rnacentral:rRNA from 1 species
UACGUAGGGUGCGAGCGUUAAUCGGAAUUACUGGGCGUAAAGGGCGCGUAGGCGGCCUCUGCAAGUCGACUGUGAAAUCUCCGGGCUUAACCCGGAACGGUCAGCCGAUACUGCAGGGCUAGAGUGCAGAAGGGGCAACUGGAAUUCUCGGUGUAGCGGUGAAAUGCGUAGAUAUCGAGAGGAACACCUGCGGCGAAGGCGGGUUGCUGGGCUGACACUGACGCUGAAGUGCGAAAGCUAGGGGAGCGAACGGG